rnacentral:rRNA from 1 species
UCAACGGCUAACAGCACUUGGAGGAUGUACAGGGAAAACUGGUAAAAUGUAAUGUACCUGAUAAUAUUAGUGAUUAAUAUGAAAUUAACUAAGUUAAUUAAAAUUCGAAGUAGAUAUGUGAUUAUGACAAUAUUUGCUUAUUUCUUGACCAAGUCACGUGCCAGCAGUCGCGGUAAUACGUGGUAGAUAAGUGUUAUUCAUCUUUAAAAGGUUUAAAGGGUACCUAGACGGUUAAUUAAGCAUAUAAGUGUACUAAUUAUUAACUAGAGUUUAAUGUAAAAAGGAUUGAGUACGGUGAGUGUAGAGAUAAAAUUCUGUCAUACCACUUAGGAACUGGUAAAGGCGAAGGCAACCUUUUAUGUAAAAACUGACGUUAAGGGACGAAGGCUCGUAUUAAAUAAUAGGAUUAGAGACCCUAGUAUUGUGGGCAGACAAUGAUGAGUGUCAUAUGCAAGAAAUUUUUUGUGUAUAAAUGAAAGUGUAAGCACUCCACCUCAAGAGUAACGUGGCAACAUGGGAACUGAAAUCAUUAGACCGUUUCUGAAACUCGUAGUGAAGUAUGUUGUUUAAUUUGAUAAUCCUCAAAUAACCUUACCACAAUUUGUAUAACUGGUAAAAUUUGUUAUAUACAAACGAUUUUACCUAUAUUUGUUUGUAUAUAACAAUAACUAGUCACAAGCGUUGCACGGCUGUCUUCAGUCAAUGUUGUGAAACUUUGGUUAGAUCCAUUAAAUUGACGUAAACCCUUGCUUUAUUUCUUAUAAAGCAGUUCGCCGCUAUAUUGGUAGUGAUAGAAGGGACUAAGACAAGUCAUCAGCCUU